rnacentral:rRNA from 1 species
AGAGUUUGAUCAUGGCUCAGAACGUACGCUGGCGGCACGCCUAACACAUGCAAGUCGAACGCAGUAGCAAUACUGAGUGGCAAACGGGUGAGUAACAUGUGGGUAUCUUCCCUUUGGUGAGGAAUAACACGAGGAAACUUGUGCUAAUACCUCAUAAGUCUUUACGGAGAAAGCUUUAUGCGCCAUUGGAUGAGCCCGCACUUGAUUAGUUUGUUGGUAGGGUAAUGGCCUACCAAGACUGUGAUCAAUAGCUGAUUUGAGAGGAUGAUCAGCCACAUUGGGACUGAGACACGGCCCAAACUCCUACGGGAGGCAGCAGUAAGGAAUCUUGCACAAUGGAGGAAACUCUGAUGCAGCGAUGCCGCGUGAGUGAAGAAGGCCCUUGGGUUGUAAAGCUCUUUCGUCGGGGAAGAAAAUGACUGUACCCGAAUAAGAAGGUCCGGCUAACUUCGUGCCAGCAGCCGCGGUAAUACGAAGGGACCUAGCGUAGUUCGGAAUUACUGGGCUUAAAGAGUUCGUAGGCGGUUAAAAAAGUUGGUGGUGAAAUCCCAGAGCUUAACUCUGGAACUGCCAUCAAAACUUUUUAGCUAGAGUAUGAUAGAGGAAAGCAGAAUUUCUAGUGUAGAGGUGAAAUUCGUAGAUAUUAGAAAGAAUACCAAUUGCGAAGGCAGCUUUCUGGAUCAUUACUGACGCUGAGGAACGAAAGCAUGGGUAGCGAAGAGGAUUAGAUACCCUCGUAGUCCAUGCCGUAAACGAUGUGUGUUAGACGUUGGAAAUUUAUUUUCUGUGUCGCAGCGAAAGCAAUAAACACACCGCCUGGGGGAGUACGACCGCAAGGUUAAAACUCAAAUGAAUUGACGGGGACCCGCACAAGUAGUGGAGCAU